rnacentral:rRNA from 1 species
GGUGAACGCUGGCGGCGUGCCUAAUACAUGCAAGUCGAGCGAACAGACGAGGAGCUUGCUCCUCUGACGUUAGCGGCGGACGGGUGAGUAACACGUGGAUAACCUACCUAUAAGACUGGGAUAACUUCGGGAAACCGGAGCUAAUACCGGAUAAUAUAUUGAACCGCAUGGUUCAAUAGUGAAAGACGGUUUUGCUGUCACUUAUAGAUGGAUCCGCGCCGCAUUAGCUAGUUGGUAAGGUAACGGCUUACCAAGGCAACGAUGCGUAGCCGACCUGAGAGGGUGAUCGGCAACACUGGAACUGAGAAACGGUCCAGACUCCUACGGGAGGCAGCAGUAGGGAAUCUUCCGCAAUGGGCGAAAGCCUGACGGAGCAACGCCGCGUGAGUGAUGAAGGUCUUCGGAUCGUAAAACUCUGUUAUUAGGGAAGAACAAAUGUGUAAGUAACUAUGCACGUCUUGACGGUACCUAAUCAGAAAGCCACGGCUAACUACGUG